rnacentral:lncRNA from 1 species
AUCUGACCCAACAAGACAUCUAGCAGGAGCUGGGAGAGGAGCAUGAGACUGAGGUUAGCAUAGUAUUGGUUCCUGUGAAAUUGUCUCUGAGGUCACCUAGAGCUGGAUGCAUUUCUCAGUGGAAGGCACUCAUCCACAUCUUCCCCUUACCUCAUCUCUUUGGGCCAUGUGUGGUGAUAGUUCAUCAGGUGCUUCCUGGGGUCUCUGUGCUGACUUUGUGAUUCUACCACACUCCACCCACCCCUGUAUCAGUGCCAUCUACUAAGUAAAUCCUG